rnacentral:sRNA from 1 species
UCGCUCGGACGUGACGUCGCGGCUCGUGAGUGCGGCACUUUUCUAGCGGGAGAUCAAGCUCAGUGUGUGUGUGCUCGACAGUGCGUCGGUGUGUGUGUGUGUUUACCCACAAAGCUGUGCUACGAUUUUCACAGCAACUAAUGCUAAGUAGAGGAAAUAUUAUUAAAUAUACUAGGUGGUUAUGAAAAACAAAUUGUUCAAGCAAAGUGCGACAAAAGCUUACCGUUCAAGACUGCCUAUACGGGAGAAUCGCCGCUACACCGGCAAAACAUAUCAAAGAAGGGAUUAUUUUGGACUGAAAAAUUCACUUUAAGGGCGCUCCAGAGCAAAAACGCGUGACAGCAUCGACUAUAACAAAUUGAAGCCAACCAAUCGGAACCUACUUUGAGGCAAAAAUGCGUUACGGUUCCGCCAAUUAAUAUCGAUGUCACAGCAAAUCAGUGUCAAUCAAAGUGUGGGAAAUCGACACGAAUUUCCACAAAUAUGCGCCGGCAAAUAGAAUCGUCGGACGCUAUGAUGAGCCAUAUCAGCGGACAAAUAUUACCCACUGGAAUGGUAAAUGGGAAAAUGAGCAAUGAGCAGCCUCAUAAUGACGAUCAUGAUCAUGAGCAGCAGCAACAGCAGCACUUGAGUAAAUAGAAAAUCAGUGUUCAGAAUCAAUACAAAAUCAAUAUAAAUAGUGCUGAGCGAUAGACAGAAAUUGAUUGUCAACAUUA